rnacentral:rRNA from 1 species
CCUACGGGGUGCUGCAGUCGAGAAUCAUUCACAAUGGGGGAAACCCUGAUGGUGCGACGCCGCGUGGGGGAAUGAAGGUCUUCGGAUUGUAAACCCCUGUCAUGUGGGAGCAAAUUAAAAAGAUAGUACCACAAGAGGAAGAGACGGCUAACUCUGUGCCAGCAGCCGCGGUAAUACAGAGGUCUCAAGCGUUGUUCGGAAUCACUGGGCGUAAAGCGUGCGUAGGCUUGUUCGUAAGUCGUGUGUGAAAGGCGCGGGCUCAACCCGCGGAUGGCACAUGAUACUGAGAGACUAGAGUAAGGGAGGGGGAAGCGGAAGUCCAGGGGUAGCAGUGAAAUGCGUAGAUAUCGAGAGGAACACUCGAGGCGAAGGCGGGUUACUGGACAUUAACUGACGCUGAGGCACGAAGGCCAGGGGAGCGAAAGGGAUUAGAUACCCCUGUAGUC